rnacentral:rRNA from 1 species
UUCUGCAGCCACACCAUUCUGGUGCACCAGAUCUUGUCUGUUCUCUGAAGCUGAGCAGGGCUGGGUCUGGUCGUUACCUGGAUGAGAAACUACCUGGGAGCACCAAGUGCUAUAGUCU